rnacentral:lncRNA from 1 species
GAGGACCAAAAUGAAAACAAGUCAAAAUUAAAUGGUAUAAUUUUGAAAAGAAGAAAAACCAAAAUUAGGACCAUAUUGAAAAGUGCCUAAAGGCUAAAGGACUUGGAAAGCAAUUUGACCCUUCCCUAAAAAAAUGUAGAUCCUAGAGGACCUGGAUCGGAUCAUCUCCAAAACGACGCCAUUUUAAGCAUCUGAAAGUUAAGCUCAAAACGACAUCAUUUCAAAGGGCUAUAUAAACCCCCUAAAAAACCAUUCUGUGCCUAGUUUAAAAAAUAUAUUUUUCUUGUUUUUUUCUUUGAAGUCCCCCUUUCGUUUAACCAUGGGGAUGACGGGGCUCUGUUGUGGCCACCAGUCAUCGACGACAGAGAUCGUCGCCUUUGGUGGUCGGAGUUCCCUAAAAUAGGCCCUUUUGACCCUAUUUUCAAGUAGAAUACAAAUAUGAGGUUUAAAUCUCUAGAAAUUUAGUCGAGGUUUGGUUGAAGGCAAAGAAACCUUUCGAUUUCUCCCUUUUUCGACGAGGCCCUCGACGAAACCCUAGGGGUUCCGAGGCUUCUCGAGUCAAAAAAAGGGGUUCUACAACGACG